CAGCGUAGGGGGCAAGCGUUUGUCCGGAUUUAUUGGGCGUAAAGAGCUCGUAGGCGGUUCGAUAAGUCGGGUGUGAAACCUCCAGGCUCAACCUGGAGACGCCACCCGAUACUGUCGUGACUAGAGUCCAGUAGGGGAGCGUGGAAUUCCUGGUGUAGCGGUGAAAUGCGCAGAUAUCAGGAGGAACACCAGCGGCGAAGGCGGCGCUCUGGGCUGGCACUGACGCUGAGACGCGAAAGCGUGGGGAGCAAACAGG
rnacentral:rRNA from 1 species